GUCAGUUUGGCUCAGUGGAUAGAGCGUCAGCCUGUGGACUGAAGAGUCCCAGGUUCAAAUCCUGACAAGGGCA
rfam:Myotis davidii contig55071, whole genome shotgun sequence.